GUACGGGAGGCAGCAGUGGGGAAUUUUCCGCAAUGGGCGAAAGCCUGACGGAGUGACGCCGCGUGUGGGACGAAGGCCUUCGGGUCGUAAACCACUGUCAGUGGGAAAGAAGGGUGUCGGCGCGAUAACCGCUGGCGCCUGACGGUACCUGCAGAGGAAGCCCCGGCUAACUCUGUGCCAGCAGCCGCGGUAAGACAGAGGGGGCAAGCGUUGCUCGGAAUUACUGGGCGUAAAGGGCGCGUAGGCGGGAUGGCAAGUCGGUCGUGAAAUCCCUCGGCUCAACUGAGGAACGUCGAUCGAUACUGCUGUUCUUGAGGAUUGCAGAGGAGACUGGAAUUCCCGGUGUAGCGGUGAAAUGUGUAGAGAUCGGGAGGAACACCGGUGGCGAAGGCGGGUCUCUGGGCAAUUCCUGACGCUGAGGCGCGAAAGCGUGGGGAGCAAACGGGAUUAGAUACCCCGGUAGU
rnacentral:rRNA from 1 species